AAAGGGGCCAACAAGUGCUAAACACCUCUGGGAACUCCUUCAAGACUGUUGGAAAACCAUUUCAGUGCAUCUCCACCUUUUAAAAGGAAAAUAAAAGGAAAUAAAAGGAAAAGGUCUCUGUGAGGCACUGCAGCCGCUUUGAAACCCAACAUCAAAACCUGGACUGUCACUGCCCUCUGACACGAGAAGCUGCUCGUGGGAAAACCAAAGGUAACAUGGGCAGCUUGGCAACUGUUUUGGAUUUAUGCCGGUGAAAAUGGAGAACCAGCUGCUCCGGAGGAACCAAUCUAAUGAAUUUGCAGUAAAAAAAAAAAAAAAAAAAAAAAAAGGAGGCAGCGAAACAGGCGAGCACAACGAAAAAUAAAAAAUCCUGUCAGGAGCAUCAUAACAGCCUCAGCGGGACAGAGCCAGUUUGACUGAGUUAAUGAUAAAACACCUGGUGACGGGACGUUUCACAGAGACGGACACUGAGCAGCUCAUUCUGGAUGCUUACCUGUCUGUGAAGCCAGAGUUGGACCUUCGGGCACUUUGACUCCCUGCACCACCGAGACACAUCUGGUAAAAACAGACAAGCUGACAAACCCCCCCCUGUGCUCCCUCAGAGCCGCUGGCACCGGAAACUCAGCAGGAGGCUUUUACAGGUGCAGAUGGGAGGGCACCUGACCUCGUUCAGACGUGGUGAAGAGCGACGAACUCUGAUGAGAAUUGAACUUGGAAAAGUCUCAGGAGUUCUAACAACUUCUGUACUCCAUCAUAACCCAAAAUAUAAGAGCAUUUCACUCUGAUUUUUAUAUUUCUGUGGACAUUUGACAGCAAAACAUCAGAUUUAAAAGUGGUACAGUAAUGCUAUGGGCUGCUGUUCUUGGCAUGAAGCUGAGGGGUUUUAUCCUCCUCAUCCUCAUCCUCAACAGCAGGAAACAAAGUGCUGUGCCCUCCCAUGUCAAACUGCACAGUCGGCCCUUCAGCUGCGGGCGGAUCCGGAUCCGGGUUUGGAGGAGAGACGGCUCGGUGGGUUCCUGCCGCCUCCGGCUCCAUGAAGCAUCUUCCCCCUGCAGGUCCUGGUCUGAGCUCCUGGGUCUGGAUCGAUCUGGGGAGGACGGGCUGAGGAAGAGCAGAAUCAAACUGACACCAAGACUCGGGAACAAUCACAAGCUUUAAAAAAAAAAAAAAGUAGAUUUUCAAUAAUAACUGUUUCUUUUACAGGAGUACUCCAAGACAAGUUUACUGUUGAUUAUUUCCUCAGUAAAUGUAUUAAUGUCUUCGUCUAUAAACCAUCAGAAAACAGGGAGAAAUGCCACAGCGUCACAGCUGACAUUUUUAAUAGCUCGU